rnacentral:rRNA from 1 species
UACGUAGGGGGCUAGCGUUGUCCGGAUUUAUUGGGCGUAAAGAGCGUGUAGGCGGCCAGGUAGGUCUGGUGUGAAAACUCGAGGCUUAACCUCGAGAUGUCAUCGGAAACCAUCUGGCUAGAGUCCGGAAGAGGAGAGUGGAAUUCCUGGUGUAGCGGUGAAAUGCGCAGAUAUCAGGAAGAACACCAAUGGCGAAAGCAGCUCUCUGGGACGGUACUGACGCUGAGACGCGAAAGCGUGGGGGGCGAACAGG